rnacentral:rRNA from 1 species
AGUUGGUGGAGUGAUUUGUCUGGUUUAUUCCGUUAACGAACGAGACCCUCGCCUGCUAAAUAGCAAAUUUUAUCAAUUUGAUAGAUGAUUGCUUCUUAGAGGGACAUGUAGCAUUAAGCUACAGGAAGAUGAGGGCGAUAACAGG